ACUUCGGUAAAGAGCGGCGGACGGGUGAGUAACGCGUGGGUAACCUACCCUGUACACACGGAUAACAUACCGAAAGGUAUGCUAAUACGGGAUAAUAUAUUUAAGAGGCAUCUCUUGAAUAUCAAAGGUGAGCCAGUACAGGAUGGACCCGCGUCUGAUUAGCUAGUUGGUAAGGUAACGGCUUACCAAGGCGACGAUCAGUAGC
rnacentral:rRNA from 1 species